rnacentral:rRNA from 1 species
UAAGACAGAGGCCCCAAGCGUUAGGCGGAAUCACUGGGCUUAAAGCGUGUGUAGGCGGACUUCUAAGUGCCUUGUGAAAUCCCACGGCUCAACCGUGGAACUGCUGGGCAUACUGGGAGUCUUGGGCCAUUCAGGGGCAACUGGAACAAGCGGUGGAGCGGUGAAAUGCGUAGAUAUCGCUUGGAACGCCGAAGGUGAAAACAGGUUGCUGGGGAUGUGCCGACGCUGAGACACGAAAGCCAGGGGAGCAAACGGGAUUAGAUACCCCGGUAGUCCUGGCCCUAAACGAUGUCCACUAGAUUAUGGCGCCUUUGACGGCGUCAUGGUCGAAGCAAAAGUGUUAAGUGGACCGCCUGGGAAGUACGGUCGCAAGGCUA